GACGAGCCUCACAAACGUUAUUCGGAAUUACUGGGCUUAAAGGGUGCGUAGGCGGCGCGGAAAGUUGGGUGUGAAAUCCCUCGGCUCAACCGAGGAACUGCGCCCAAAACUACCGUGCUCGAGGAAGAUAGAGGUGAGCGGAACUUACGGUGGAGCGGUGAAAUGCGUUGAUAUCGUAAGGAACACCCGUGGCGAAAGCGGCUCACUGGGUCUUUUCUGACGCUGAGGGACGAAAGCUAGGGGAGCGAACGGG
rnacentral:rRNA from 1 species